rnacentral:rRNA from 1 species
GACGAACGCUGGCGGCGUGCUUAACACAUGCAAGUCGAACGGAGUGGCGAACGGGUGGGUAACACGUGGGUGACCUGCCCUGCACUUCGGGAUAAGCCUGGGUAACUGGGUUUAAUACCGGCGCGUGUGGGAUGGGCGCGCGGCCUAUCAGCUUGUUGGUGGGGUAAUGGCAUACCAAGGCGGCGACGGGUAGCCGGCCUGGGAGGGUGGACAGGCACAAUGGGACUGAGACAGGGCCCAGAGGCGUACGGGAGGCAGCAGGGGGGAAUAUUGCACAACGGGCGGGAGUGUGAUGCAGCGGCGCCGGGUGGGGAAAGACGGCCUUGGGGGUGUAAACGCCUUUCACCAUAGACGCGGUAGAUGGAGAAGAAGCACCGGCUAACUACGUGCCAGCAGCCGCGGUAAUAC